rnacentral:rRNA from 1 species
AUUGAACGCUGGCGGCAGGCCUAACACAUGCAAGUCGAGCGAGCGGCGGACGGGUGAGUAAUGUAUGGGGACUGCCUGAUAGAGGGGGAUAACUACUGGAAACGGUAGCUAAUACCGCAUACUAUCGGAUGACCCAUAUGGGAUUAGCUAGUAGGUGGGGUAAUGGCUCACCUAGGCGACGAUCCCUAGCUGGUCUGAGAGGAUGAUCAGCCACACUGGAACUGAGACACGGCCCAGACUCCUACGGAGGCAGCAGUGGGGAAUAUUGCACAAUGGGCGCAAGCCUGAUGCAGCCAUGCCGCGUGUAUGAAGAAGGCCUUAGGGUUGUAAAGUCCUUUCAGUGGGGAGGCGUUACCCACAGAAGAAGCACCGGCUAACUCCGUGCCAGCAGCCGCGGUAAUAC